ACUCUAAGAGCUAUUAUCUCAACCUCCAACUAUCUUUUGGAUAGUAGUUUGAAUAAUUGUUGUUAUUAUUUUGAGCACUAAAUGAGCACUGGCUUUGGAUUUAAAUAAAGUUUAAAAUUCCUGGUGGGAUCUCACUAUGAUAAUAAAGGAUGCCUCUUUAUCAUCAGCCACAACUAUAAAAUUCCAGGCUUUAAAUAAUGCAGAACAUAAGAAGAAAGAAUAAAAUGUUUCUUUAAAAACAUUAUUUUAUAUUA
rnacentral:lncRNA from 1 species